ACGGGUUUAGCUCAGUCGGUAGAGCACUGGUCUCCAAAACCAGGUGUCGAGGGUUCGAAUCCUUCAACCCGUG
rnacentral:tRNA from 1 species